rnacentral:rRNA from 1 species
GUACGCUGGCGGCACGCCUAACACAUGCAAGUCGAACGAAGUAGCAAUACUUAGUGGCAGACGGGUGAGUAACAUGUAGGUAUCUGCCCUUUGGCCUGGAAUAACACGAGGAAACUUGUGCUAAUACCGGAUAAGUCUUUACGGAGAAAGCUUUAUGCACCAUUGGAUGAGCCUGCACUUGAUUAGUUUGUUGGUGGGGUAAUGGCCUACCAAGACUGUGAUCAAUAGCUGAUUUGAGAGGAUGAUCAGCCACAUUGGGACUGAGACACGGCCCAAACUCCUACGGGAGGCAGCAGUGGGGAAUCUUGCACAAUGGAGGAAACUCUGAUGCAGCGAUGCCGCGUGAGGAAGAAGGCCCUUGGGUUGUAAAGCUCUUUCGUCGGGGAAGAAAAUGACUGUACCCGAAUAAGAAGGUC